GCUUCAGUGGCGCAACGGGUUGAAGAACGCGCUCCCGGAUAAAACAAGAUGCGGGUUCGAUUCCCGCCUGAUGCG